rnacentral:rRNA from 1 species
UUACGGUCAAAUCACGCUGAAAACACCGGUUCUCGUUCGAUCACCGAAGUUAAGCAUCGUAGAGCCAGGUCAGUAAUUAGAUGGGGACCGCUUGGGAACACCUGGUACUGUAAG